rnacentral:rRNA from 1 species
AUAUCAAUAAGCGGAGGAAAAGAAACCAACAGGGAUUGCCCUAGUAACGGCGAGUGAAGCGGCAUCAGCUCAAAUUUGAAAUCUGGCUCUUUCAGAGUCCGAGUUGUAAUUUGCAGAGGGCGCUUUGGCGUUGGCAGCGGUCUAAGUUCCCUGGAACAGGACGUCACAGAGGGUGAGAAUCCCGUAUGUGGUCGCUGGCCUUCGCCGUGUAAAGCCCCUUCGACGAGUCGAGUUGUUUGGGAAUGCAGCUCUAAAUGGGAGGUAAAUUUCUUCUAAAGCUAAAUACUGGCCAGAGACCGAUAGCGCACAAGUAGAGUGAUCGAAAGAUGAAAAGCACUUUGGAAAGAGAGUCAAAUAGCACGUGAAAUUGUUGAAAGGGAAGCGCUUGCAGCCAGACUUGCCUGUAGUUGCUCAUCCGGGCUUUUGCCCGGUGCACUCUUCUGCGGGCAGGCCAGCAUCAGUUUGGGCGGUUGGAUAAAGGUCUCUGUCAUGUACCUCCUUUCGGGGAGGCCUUAUAGGGGAGACGACAUGCAACCAGCCUGGACUGAGGUCCGCGCAUCUGCUAGGAUGCUGGCGUAAUGGCUGUAAGCGGCCCGUCUUGAAACACGGACCAAGGAGUCUAACAUCUAUGCGAGUGUUUGGGUGUCAAGCCCGAGCGCGUAAUGAAAGUGAACGGAGGUGGGAUCCCUUAAGGGUGCACCAUCGACCGAUCCUGAUGUCUUCGGAUGGAUUUGAGUAAGAGCAUGGCUGUUGGGACCCGAAAGAUGGUGAACUAUGCUUGAAUAGGGUGAAGCCAGAGGAAACUCUGGUGGAGGCUCGCAGCGGUUCUGACGUGCAAAUCGAUCGUCAAAUUUGGGCAUAGGGGCGAAAGACUAAUCGAACUAUCUAGUAGCUGGUUCCUGCCAAUUU